GUGCUCACUUUGCAGCACAUAUGCUAAAAUUGGAACAAUACGGAGAAGAUUAGCAUGGUCCCAGCACAAAUAUGACGUGCAAACUCAUAAACUGUUCCAAUCUUAA